CCUACGGGGGCAGCAGGGAGGAAUAUUGGUCAAUGGCCGUAAGGCUGAACCAGCCAAGUCGCGUGAAGGAAGAAGGAUCUAUGGUUUGUAAACUUCUUUUAUAGGGGAAUAAAGGUAUACACGUGGGGAUAUUUGCAUGUACCCUAUGAAUAAGCAUCGGCUAACUCCGUGCCAGCAGACGCGGUAAUACGGAGGAUGCGAGCGUUAUCCGGAUUUAUUGGGGUGAAAGGGUGCGUAGGUUGUUUUUUAAGUCAGCGGUGAAAGUUUGUGGAUCAACCAUAAAAUUGCCGUUGAAACUGGAAGACUUGAGUGUGUUUGAGGUAGGCGGAAUGCGUGGUGUAGCGGUGAAAUGCAUAGAUAUCACGCAGAACUCCGAUUGCGAAGGCAGCUUACUAAGCCAUAACUGACACUGAAGCACGAAAGCGUGGGGAUCAAACAGGAUUAGAUACCCUUGUAGUC
rnacentral:rRNA from 1 species